rnacentral:antisense_RNA from 1 species
UUCUAUGGUGGGCCGUGCGGGGCAGGCUUCGGCCUGGCCGGCGUCCUUGGUUGCCGGUUUGUCACCCCCGUACGGUCCGCCACCCAA